rnacentral:rRNA from 1 species
AGGACGAACGCUGGCGGCGUGCUUAACACAUGCAAGUGGAGCGACGAACCAGGGCUUGCCCUGGGGCAGAGCCGCGAACGGGUGAGUAACACGUGGGUUACCUGCCUUGAUGACCGGGACAACCCGAGGAAACUCGGGCUAAUACCGGAUGUGCCCGCAAGGGGAAAGGAAGCUUCGGCCUCCGCAUCAAGAUGGGCCCGCGGCCCAUUAGCUUGUUGGUGAGGUAACGGCUCACCAAGGCUUCGAUGGGUAGCUGGUCUGAGAGGACGAUCAGCCACCACUGGGACUGAGACACGGCCCAGACUCCUACGGGAGGCAGCAGUGGGGAAUCUUGCGCAAUGCGCGAAAGCGUGACGCAGCAACGCCGCGUGGGGGAAGAAGGCUUUCGGGUUGUAAACCCCUUUCAGCAGGGACGAAGCGAAAGUGACGGUACCUGCAGAAGAAGCGCCGGCUAACUACGUGCCAGCAGCCGC